AUCCUGUUUGAACAGUGAUCUACAUGUGGCAUUUAAACUGCUACCUUUUAUUUCACCGUUGAGAGACAGAAAAAAAUACAGUUGGCAUGAUUCUUUGUUAUUUAAUUGCCUGUGAAUUGCCGCUACGAUAAACUAUGUAAAAUGAAUGUGCACAUUCGAUGUCAAGCGAACGUGGCCCCUAACUGUGGGGUAAAUGCGGUGGAACUCGCCAAGACCCUGGCAGGGAUGGGUCUCCAACCCGGAAAUAUUUCUCCAACCUCGAAACUCGUUUCCAGAUUGACCCUAAGACGACAGGGAAAGGAGAGCAGCAAAGAAGGAAAUGGGAUUGGGGUUAGUUCUUCCAACCGACUUGGUAUCGACAACUUUGAGUUCAUCCGAGUGUUGGGGAAGGGGAGUUUUGGGAAGGUGAUGCUUGCAAGAAUAAAAGAAACAGGAGACCUCUAUGCUGUGAAGGUGCUAAAGAAGGACGUGAUUCUGCAGGAUGAUGAUGUGGAAUGCACCAUGACCGAGAAAAGGAUCCUGUCUCUGGCCCGCAAUCACCCCUUCCUCACUC
rnacentral:sRNA from 1 species